rnacentral:rRNA from 1 species
UACGUAGGGGGCAAGCGUUGUCCGGAAUUACUGGGCGUAAAGAGCGCGCAGGCGGUCGAUCAAGUCGAGUGUGAAAGCCCCCCGGCUCAACUGGGGAGGGUCACGCGAUACUGAUCGACUCGAAGGCAGGAGAGGGUAGUGGAAUUCCCGGUGUAGUGGUGAAAUGCGUAGAUAUCGGGAGGAACACCAGUGGCGAAGGCGACUACCUGGCCUGUUCUUGACGCUGAGGCGCGAAAGCUAGGGGAGCAAACGGG